AAAUUUCCCAACUUCAAAAAAGUCAAUAACAACAACAAACAGCCCACGAGGCAAAAAACGAGAAGAAGGAGGUCCAACACGAAGGAGGUUACAUGAAAUGGCGUGACAUCCUUUUAAUUGAUAUGUGUAUACAAGCGCAAUAUACGCAGAGUACAAACACACGUUGUGCUAAAGCGCAGCACGUGUUGACGUCAAGCUUUUCUUUUGGGUUUUUCUUCACAUAUGUAUGAUACCAUCUCUAAUCUUUCGUCAUCCUUUUUGAAAUGUCAUUUCGUGUUGAGCACUUGACGUAUUCUUCACGUCAUCGUCCAUUUCCUAUAUCCAGGAUUUGAAUUGCGCAAUUGGAUAAAUAUAAACGACUAAAUAAACCACCAUGACUUUACACACAGUUAAGGUCAGAUGUGUGCAGCCAUCAUUAUUUGAUGGUAUUAAAAUGAGAAAAAAAAAGGAAAAGUUGGUGGGGACUAGCCAUCAAAAAAGGAAUUGACGAUGAAAGUUUUGUACGAUGUGGAAAUGAAUGCAUUAUUCACCAAGCCAUGCACACCAAAAGUUAACAGGAUACCGGGAGGAAAAUAAAACACGAAUUUCCACUUAACCUUUCGUUCAAUGUUUGGCUGGUCGAUUUAAGCAGAAAGUUUCUCUGCGGCUAACACGUCGCCAUCUGCUUUCUUUUUCUUCUCCUAUAUUAUACUUAUACGUUAACACGUUAACGCAAUUUGAUGAACACACUAAACGUCUGUAUAGUGUCA